UUCCAUCCACCAAAAGGUCUUAGAGAGAGAGGGAGUGAUUUAGAGAGAAAAGAUUAUGAGAAGAAUGAGAAAAAGCGUAGGAAACACCAAGGUUUCGGUAAGAAAUUUAAUAUUUAUUUUUAAACAUCCUAAAGAGUAUUUCUAUAUUAAACUAACAAAUUUUAAAUUAAAUGGUUACAUGCUUAAUCUUAUAUGCUUAAAUAAAAUGAUUUAUGAGUUAAUGCAUGUUUUGUGAACAUAUGUAAGUAAAUUAAUUUCAUGUUCAUUUUAAAUGAUUAAAUGCUUGGGAUAAAUGUUGAUGUGUGAUACAUUGUACAAUGGUAAAGAAAUAAAGCAUGAAGUGAUAUUUAAACAUGUGAAAUAUGUAUUGGUAUCAGCAUGCAUGAUUCAUAAAAUGUUUCCUUAGGUUUUUUAUCUCUGAUGGGUUCUAUUUCUCCCCCAUUUGGUUUGAAAAGACAUUAGACGACCCCUCAUUAUGGAUGACGGUGUACCAUUUGACGAGAGUGGUGAUGCGAUACGAUUGUAAGGGUCAUUUUUGCCGAAGAAUGACCGUGACCAUAGUUAACCUAUAGGACCACUGUGGUUGGCAUGGUCGUGGUCAUAGAUCGUAUCAUGGUUUUUUAAAAAAAUUUAAAAACUUGAGACUGUUUUUUUAAUAAAAUACACAAUUAUAAUUACAG
rnacentral:lncRNA from 1 species